GACGAACGCUGGCGGCGUGCCUAAUACAUGCAAGUAGAACGCUGAAGGAGGAGCUUGCUUCUCUGGAUGAGUUGCGAACGGGUGAGUAACGCGUAGGUAACCUGCCUGGUAGCGGGGGAUAACUAUUGGAAACGAUAGCUAAUACCGCAUAAGAGUAGAUGUUGCAUGACAUUUGCUUAGAAGGUGCAAUUGCAUCACUACCAGAUGGACCUGCGUUGUAUUAGCUAGUUGGUGGGGUAACGGCUCACCAAGGCGACGAUACAUAGCCGACCUGAGAGGGUGAUCGGCCACACUGGGACUGAGACACGGCCCAGACUCCUACGGGAGGCAGCAGUAGGGAAUCUUCGGCAAUGGACGGAAGUCUGACCGAGCAACGCCGCGGGAGUGAAGAAGGUUUUCGGAUCGUAAAGCUCUGUUGUAAGAGAAGAACGAGUGUGAGAGUGGAAAGUUCACACUGUGACGGUAUCUUACCAGAAAGGGACGGCUAACUACGUG
rnacentral:rRNA from 1 species